GUCAAGUCAGGGGAGUCGGAAGUACCCGAAGUUCGUCCUAGCGGCGACCUACGGUAAAUUCGAUAACAAGGACUAAGUCGUAACAAGGCACGGCUAGCGGAAGCUGGUCGUGGAUUAAUUCCAAU
rnacentral:rRNA from 1 species